AAGUCGUAACAAGGUUUCCGUAGGUGAACCUGCGGAAGGAUCAUUAUUGAUUGAGCCAUGUGCUCUCAUAACAACCAUCCAACACACAUGUGAACCGUUUGACCUCCGGGUCUACCACAAACAUCAGUGUAAAGAACGUCUUGUUAUCUUAACAAAAACAAAACUUUCAACAACGGAUCUCUUGGCUCUC
rnacentral:misc_RNA from 1 species